UGGCUCAGAACGAACGCUGGCGGCAGGCUUAAACCAUGCAAGUCGAGCGCCCCGCAAGGGGAGCGGCAGACGGGUGAGUAACGCGUGGGAAUCUACCCUGAACUGCGGAAUAGCUCCGGGAAACUGGAAUUAAUACCGCAUGUGCCCUGAGGGGCAAAGAUUUAUCGGUUCAGGAUGAGCCCGCGUCCGAUUAGCUAGUUGGUGGGGUAAAGGCCUACCAAGGCGACGAUCGGUAGCUGGUCUAAGAGGAUGAUCAGCCACAUUGGGACUGAGACACGGCCCAAACUCCUACGGGAGGCAGCAGUGGGGAAUAUUGGACAAUGGGCGCAAGCCUGAUCCAGCCAUGCCGCGUGAGUGAUGAAGGCCCUAGGGUUGUAAAGCUCUUUCAGUGGGGACGAUAAUGACGGUACCCACAGAAGAAGCCCCGGCUAACUUCGUGCCAGCAGCCGCGGUAAUACGAAGGGGGCUAGCGUUGUUCGGAAUUACUGGGCGUAAAGCGCACGUAGGCGGACAUUUAAGUCAGGGGUGAAAUCCCGGGGCUCAACCCCGGAACUGCCUUUGAUACUGGGUGUCUUGAGUCCGGAAGAGGUGAGUGGAAUUGCGAGUGUAGAGGUGAAAUUCGUAGAUAUUCGCAGGAACACCAGUGGCGAAGGCGGCUCACUGGUCCGGUACUGAC
rnacentral:rRNA from 1 species